UUCCCGCUUUUGAUUCUUUUGAUUCCGUCAGACGAUGGAACGCAGUCAAGGGCGAUCGAGCCUCAGAUGUGUGUCUUCCAGAUGCGCUGAGUUUGCCGUUGUCCAGUGCGUGAACGUUGACGGCGUGCAAUCAGAUGUAUCGGGAUACACGGAGCUGUCCGACUGCGUGUAUUCGUCCUGUGAUGUCUGAAAGAGUUAACAUAUGUGGACAUUUUUGCAAAGGACCAGUUCCUAAUGAGGUCUCCAGUGACACUCGGUGUGGAUCGCCGCAAUUAGAGUUCUUCAAGGAGUUUUCCGCCCACGAAAGGACCUUCCAGAUUAACGUUCCACUCUCGGACUACCCAGAUUAACGUUCUAACGGUCUACUCAAAGGACAGGACAGCGUCCGUAGUUGGGAGCCUGUGAUAGUGGCUUGGUAAACACAGCCAGCGGUCAACACGUCUGAAGUAUUCACUACACAAGAACGAAGAGAAAGCGGAAUUGAAAAAAAA